rnacentral:rRNA from 1 species
UUGCUGCUUUGCUGACGAGUGGCGGACGGGUGAGUAAUGUCUGGGAAACUGCCUGAUGGAGGGGGAUAACUACUGGAAACGGUAGCUAAUACCGCAUAACGUCGCAAGACCAAAGAGGGGGACCUUCGGGCCUCUUGCCAUCGGAUGUGCCCAGAUGGGAUUAGCUAGUAGGUGGGGUAACGGCUCACCUAGGCGACGAUCCCUAGCUGGUCUGAGAGGAUGACCAGCCACACUGGAACUGAGACACGGUCCAGACUCCUACGGGAGGCAGCAGUGGGGAAUAUUGCACAAUGGGCGCAAGCCUGAUGCAGCCAUGCCGCGUGUAUGAAGAAGGCCUUCGGGUUGUAAAGUACUUUCAGCGGGGAGGAAGGGAGUAAAGUUAAUACCUUUGCUCAUUGACGUUACCCGCAGAAGAAGCACCGGCUAACUCCGUGCCAGCAGCCGCGGUAAUACGGAGGGUGCAAGCGUUAAUCGGAAUUACUGGGCGUAAAGCGCACGCAGGCGGUUUGUUAAGUCAGAUGUGAAAUCCCCGGGCUCAACCUGGGAACUGCAUCUGAUACUGGCAAGCUUGAGUCUCGUAGAGGGGGGUAGAAUUCCAGGUGUAGCGGUGAAAUGCGUAGAGAUCUGGAGGAAUACCGGUGGCGAAGGCGGCCCCCUGGACGAAGACUGACGCUCAGGUGCGAAAGCGUGGGGAGCAAACAGAUAGAUACCCUGGUAGUCACGCCGUAA